rnacentral:lncRNA from 1 species
UAGUAGAGAAUAAAGCAAAAUUAUACAUUAUAUGGUCAGUAGCUCCUGAAUCAAUAAUCCAACCUGUAUCGCGGGUAUCAUGGGCAUGGAAAGCCUUGCCAAAGUUACCUGGAGGCUGAGGUGUUGGAGUGCUUGAGAUUGCGGUCAAAGUUGGAGAAGGAGUGGCAGUAAGAGGGCCAUGCCUAGUGGUGAUGUCAGCCACAGAAGUGGGGGCAACAGCCACAUGAGCUUUGCUGUCCAGUUGUUCCCUUUUUAAACUCCUCUGCUCCUUCUCCCAAUCUGGUACUCCAUG